rnacentral:rRNA from 1 species
AGAGGGUUCGGCCCUCGGCGGACUGCUCAGUAACACGUGGAUAACCUGCCCUAAGGUGGAGGAUAACCCCGGGAAACUGGGGAUAAUACUCCAUAGGUUAGGAUGGCUGGAAUGCCUUCUAACCCAAAGCUCCGGCGCCUUAGGAUGGAUCUGCGGCCGAUUAGGUUGUUGUUGGGGUAACGGCCCAACAAGCCUGUAAUCGGUACGGGUUGUGGGAGCAAGAGCCCGGAGAUGGAUUCUGAGACAUGAAUCCAGGCCCUACGGGGCGCAGCAGGCGCGAAAACUUUACAAUGCGGGAAACCGCGAUAAGGGGACACCGAGUGCCAGCAUAUUAUGUUGGCUGUCCGCAUGUGUAAAUAACAUGUGUUAGCAAGGGCCGGGCAAGACCGGUGCCAGCCGCCGCGGUAACACCGGCGGCCCGAGUGGUAGCCACUAUUAUUGGGUCUAAAGGGUCCGUAGCCGGUUUGAUCAGUCUUCCGGGAAAUCUGACAGCUCAACUGUUAGGCUUCUGGGGGAUACUGU